UGAGAUGUACUACUAAAUGCA
rnacentral:siRNA from 1 species